AACGAACGCUGGCGGCACGUUUUAAGCAUGCAAGUCGAACGGCAGUGGGGGUAACCCCAUGAGAGUGGCGAACGGGUGAGUAACACGUAGGUGAUCUGCCUUUGGGUUGGGGAUAGCUUGUGGAAACACAGGGUAAUACCGAAUGAGCUGACGGGGCUUUGGCCAAGUUAGUAAAGGUGCUACGGCACCGCCUAGAGAGGAGCCUGCGGCUGAUUAGCUAGUUGGUGGGGUAAAGGCCUACCAAGGCGACGAUCAGUAGCCGGCCUGAGAGGGUGUACGGCCACACUGGAACUGAGACACGGUCCAGACUACUACGGGAGGCAGCAGCUAAGAAUCUUCCGCAAUGGGCGAAAGCCUGACGGAGCGAUGCCGCGUGAUCGAUGAAGGUCGAGAGAUUGUAAAGAUCUUUUCCACAUGAGGAAUAAGUCUGGGAGGGAAUGCCUGGAUGAUGACGUUAGUGUGGGAAUAAGCCCCGGCUAAUUACGUGCCAGCAGCCGCAGUAA
rnacentral:rRNA from 1 species